ACCUUUACAAUGCACGAAAGUGUGAUAGGGGGAUACUCAGUGCUUACGACUCUGUUGUAGGCUUUUGUCGAUCGUAAAUAGAUCGGCGAAUAAGUGGUGGGUAAGACCGGUGCCAGCCGCCGCGGUAACCCCGGCGCCACAAGUGGUCAUCGCGAUUAUUGGGCCUAAAGCGUUCGUAGCCGGUUUGGUAAAUCUCUUGUGAAAUUGUUCGGCUUAACCGGACAGCGUGCAGGAGACACUGCCAAUCUCGAGACCGGGAGGCGUAAGAAGUAUGUCAUGGGGACUGGUAAAAUGGGAUAAUCCAUGAUAGACUACCGAUGGCGAAGGCAUCUUACGAGAACGGAUCUGACGGUGAGGAACGAAAGCCAGGGGAGCGAACCGGAUUAGAUACCCGAGUAGUCCUGGCCGUAAACGCUGUGAGCUAGGUGCUGCGUAUCUCAUGAAGAUGCGCGGUGUCGAAAUGAAGAUGCUAAGCUCACCGCCUGGGAAGUACGGUCGCAAGACUGAAACUUUA
rnacentral:rRNA from 1 species